AUUGAACGCUGGCGGAAUGCUUUACACUUGCAAGUCGAACGGCAGCACGGACUUCGGUCUGGUGGCGAGUGGCGAACGGGUGAGUAAUGUAUCGGAACGUGCCCAGUCGUGGGGGAUAACGUAGUGAAAAUUACGCUAAUCCCGCAUACGAUCUAUGGAUGAAAGCGGGGGAUCGCAAGACCUCGCGCGAUUGCAGCGGCCGAUAUCAGAUUAGGUAGUUGGUGGGGUAAAGGCCGACCAAGCCAACGAUCUGUAGCUGGUCUGAGAGGACGACCAGACACACUGGAACUGAGACACGGUCCAGACUCCUACGGGAGGCAGCAGUGGGGAAUUUUGGACAAUGGACGAAAGCCUGAUCCAGCCAUUCCGCGUGCAGGAUGAAGGCCCUCGGGUUGUAAACUGCUUUUGUACAGAACGAAAAGGUUUCUACUAAUACUAGGAGCUCAUGACGGUACUGUAAGAAUAAGCACCGGCUAACUACGUGCCAGCAGCCGCGGUAA
rnacentral:rRNA from 1 species